UCUCGCCUUUCACCCUGGCGGAGGGGUGCCUGCACUCCAGGUCCCUACCUUGGGGUUAGAAUCUGGCUGCGGAAGGCCUCCAGAUCCCCUCCACUGCUAGUCUGAGACCCCAGCUUCAGCACCAGAGGCUGGACAGCGCCCUGGCCCGAUUGCGCCUGGGUUCCCGCGCACAGCUCCGCUGCCCUAAGUCGCUCGGAUCUCACGCGGAGGCGACCAGGAGUGACAAAUGGAAAAGCUGGAUGGAUGGAAACAAUGACCAUCUAAUUUGGUGUAAGAGAAGACCCAUAACUUCCCAGGAAGGCUGUGGCAGCAAGUAGUCCUCUUUAGGGAUGCUGGUAUUGGUCUCCACUUCUCUAAAAGGAAGGGGUAUCACCGUUCCUUUCCUUCCAAGACAGAAACCAUCUGACAACAGCCUGAGAAACUGUAAGUUUCAAUUACUAUGAACCAUGCCCUCUGCUAGGCACAGGGAUUUAAUCAUCAGAAAAAGAGUCCCUGGCCUCCUGGUCCAGUACCCUACCCCUACUUCGUUCUGAGUUGUGGC
rnacentral:lncRNA from 1 species